rnacentral:rRNA from 1 species
CCUACGGGAGGCAGCAGUGAGGAAUAUUGGUCAAUGGGAGAGAUCCUGAACCAGCCAAGCCGCGUGAGGGAAGACGGCCCUAUGGGUUGUAAACCUCUUUUGUCGGAGAACAAAACCCGGGACGUGUCCCGGACUGCGUGUAUCCGAAGAAAAAGCAUCGGCAAACACCGGGCCAGCAGCCGCGGUACUAUGGAGGAUGCGAGGGUUAUCCGGAUUUAUUGGGUUUAAGGGGUGCGUAGGCGGUCCGUUAAGUCAGCGGUAAAAUGGCGGGGCUAAACCCCGUCGAGCCGUUGAAACUGGCAGACUUGAGUGGGCGAGAAGUACGCGGAAUGCGCGGUGUAGCGGUGAAAUGCAUAGAUAUCGCGCAGAACACCGAUUGCGAAGGCAGCGUACCGGCGCCAGACUGACGCUGAGGCACGAAAGCGUGGGGAUCGAACAGGAUUAGAUACCCCAGUAGUC